AGGGAUAUAGCUUAGUGUAGAGCACUUGCCUAGUAUGUAUGAGACCCUAGGUUCAAUCCCCAGCACCACCA
rnacentral:tRNA from 1 species